GAAUUUUUGACAAUGGGCGAAAGCCUGAUCCAGCAAUGCCGCGUGCAGGAUGAAGGCCUUCGGGUUGUAAACUGCUUUUGUACGGAACUAAAAGCUUUGGGUCAAUACCCUGGAGUCAUUACUGUACCGGCAGGAUAAGCACCGGCUAACUACGUUCCAGAAGCCGCGGUAAUACUUAGGGUGCAAGCGUUAAUCGGAAUUACGGGGCGUAAGGCGUGCGCAGUCGGUUUUGUAAGACAGAGGUGAAAUCCCCGGGCUCAACCUGGGAACUGCCUUUGUGACUGCAAGGCUAGAGUACGGCAGAGGGGGGUGGAAUUCCGCGUGUAGCAGUGAAAUGCGUAGAUAUGCGGAGGAACACCGAUGGCGAAGGCAACCCCCUGGGCCUGUACUGACGCUCAUGCACGAAAGCGUGGGGAGCAAACAGG
rnacentral:rRNA from 1 species